rnacentral:rRNA from 1 species
GAUGAACGCUAGCGGGAGGCCUAAUACAUGCAAGUCGAACGGUAAGGUCCCUUCGGGGAUACACGAGUGGCGGACGGGUGCGUAACGCGUACGAAACAUACCUUCAACAGGGAGAUACCUCCGGGAAACUGGAAAUAAUACCCCAUAGUAUUGAGAUAUCGCAUGAUAUUUCUAAUUAAAAGACUUUGGUCGGUUGAAGAAUUGUCGUGCGUCUGAUUAGCUAGUUGGUGAGGUAACGGCUCACCAAGGCGACGAUCAGUAGCUGGUCUGAGAGGAUGAUCAGCCACACUGGAACUGAGACACGGUCCAGACUCCUACGGGAGGCAGCAGUAGGGAAU